GCAAUCUAUUAGCUCAGUUGGUUAGAGCGUGGUGCUGAUAACGCCAAGGUCACAGGUUCAAUCCCAGCUGCAUAUUCAUGCA